rnacentral:rRNA from 1 species
GAUGAACGCUAGCGGCAGGCUUAACACAUGCAAGUCGAGGGGCAGCACGGGUAGCAAUACCUGGUGGCGACCGGCGGAAGGGUGCGUGACGCGUGAGCAACAUGCCCUAUACAGGGGAAUAAUCCAGGGAAACUUGGUCUAAUGCCCCAUAGCAAUAAGAUAAGGCAUCUUAUUUUAUUUAAAGCUUCGGUGGUAUAGGAUUGGCUCGCGUGACAUUAGCUGGAUGGUGGGGUAACGGCCCACCAUGGCGAUGAUGUCUAGGGGUUCUGAGAGGAAGACCCCCCACACUGGGACUGAGACACGGCCCAGACUCCUACGGGAGGCAGCAGUGAGGAAUAUUGGACAAUGGAUGAAAAUCUGAUCCAGCCAUGCCGCGUGCAGGAAGACGGCCCUAUGGGUUGUAAACUGCUUUUCUACGGGAGCAAUAAGGUCUACGCGUAGACUGAUGAGAGUACCGUAGGAAUAAGCAUCGGCUAACUCCGUGCCAGCAGCCGCGGUAAUACGGAGGAUGCGAGCGUUAUCCGGAUUUAUUGGGUUUAAAGGGUGCGUAGGCGGCUUUUUAAGUCAGCGGUGAAAUUUUGCAGCUUAACUGUAACAGUGCCGUUGAUACUGGGGAGCUAGGAUUUGGUUGCUGUGGGUGGAAUGUGUGGUGUAGCGGUGAAAUGCUUAGAGAUCACACAGAAUAUCGAUUGCGAAGGCAGCUCACAAAGCCAAGAUUGACGCUGAGGCACGAAAGUGUGGGGAUCAAACAGGAUUAGAUACCCUGGUAGUCCACACUGUAAACGAUGAUAACUCGCUGUCGGCGAUACACAGUCGGUGGCCAAGCGAAAGCGAUAAGUUAUCCACCUGGGGAGUACGACCGCAAGGUUGAAACUCAAGGAAUUGACGGG